GACAGAGGUCCCGAGCGUUAGGCGGAAUCACUGGGCUUAAAGCGUGUGUAGGCGGAUCGUUAAGUGCCUUGUGAAAUCCCACGGCUCAACCGUGGAACUGCCGGGCAUACUGGCGAUCUUGAGGCAUUCAGGGGCGAGCGGAACAAAUGGUGGAGCGGUGAAAUGCGUAGAUAUCAUUUGGAACGCCAAUGGUGAAAACAGCUCGCUGGGAAUGAUCUGACGCUGAGACGCGAAAGCCAGGGGAGCGAACGGG
rnacentral:rRNA from 1 species